CUGCAUUCACAGCACGAUGUGUGUGACUGUGUGUGUGUGUAAAUGUGAAAGCGUAGUUGAGUGUGUGCACAGUAUGCUGCAGAACAGCAGUUAAGUAACUUAUACGCCGUGGUGGCUUGACGCUGGUGAUUACACAAUGCAUAGUAAAGUGCAUACAGUCAUAUUUAGGCCGACACGUUCGUUUAAGUCACUGACGCCUUGAGCCGUUUUGCCAGCUCCAUUAUUUUCUCAUCAGUUUUCUUACAUCAUCCCUUCACUAUUUGUUGUUCCGUUUUUAUUGUUCACUACAGAUGUUUCAUUAAUUGAUGAGCUUACCCUAAAUGGACAUCACGUGUCGCUGACAUCUCGAGCUUGCCUUACCAUGUUUAUGCCAAAUAAAUAAAUAAAGGAAAAUCAGAAAAACCAAAAAAGGCCGCAAAUCUGUAUAUUUCGCUAUUUCUAUGCCGUUCUGCAUCUGACUAGCCUUAUUUAAAGAUAUUAUAUAUAAUAUAUGGGAUUUUUCAAUGGGGCACUACAAAAGUAGAGCGAUAGGGACAGCAAACGACGCCAUAUUUCUCUUCAGUAAAGUUUGCCAUUUCAACGUAAAAAGAUAUACGAUCCAGCACGAGUCGAAAUUAUUAAAAUGUACUACAUAAAUUCGGAGUCAGUGGCCUCAUCUUUAAGAGCUACACUUAAAAACAUUUGAGGUUACAUUAUGUUUUCGAAAAGAUCUCAAUAUACGUAACUAGCAUAACCCUUCGGAAAAUACACUCGUUUACUUUCAUUUUGUAAAUGUGGUGUAGUAAUGCUGUUUGUUGUUAAUUUUGGGUCGCCAAACCCGAAAAUGAUAGCUAAAAUCAUCUAACACCUAAGGUUUUGUGUUUUAGUCAAGGGGCGUAGAAACCAAUCCACAACAAUUUCCUAAAAUAAAACUAACUGUACGUGAUGGAAAAUUUUUGAACCUUUUCUAGUAUGUAAAUUCUUGGACACAAAGCUCAAUUUCCCUUGUGAGAAUAUACAUAGCAACUAUAAACUACUCAGUACCGGUAACGUAUGCCGCGUGUAUAUGCCGGAAACAUCGACUUCUUAUGUUCUAUGUAACGCAUAUAAGCAGCUCUAAGGAAAGGAAACCUCUCUAGGGGCAUUCGUUUACUAACUCUAAGCAAUUUAGGGUAAAUACCGUCAAAAGGAUUUUAUAUUAUCUUGGAUUGAAUUCAAUAUCAUAAACUUUUUAAGAUAAAAAAUUAUCUUACUGUUUCACUAAGUAUGUAUGUUGUAAUAAUUAUUUAUUCAAGAUAUUCAUAUU